rnacentral:rRNA from 1 species
GGCGACGAUGCGUAGGGGUUCUGAGAGGAAGGUCCCCCACACUGGUACUGAGACACGGACCAGACUCCUACGGGAGGCAGCAGUGAGGAAUAUUGGUCAAUGGGCGAGAGCCUGAACCAGCCAAGUCGCGUGAGGGAGUACUGCCCUAUGGGUUGUAAACCUCUUUUGUCGGGGAGCAAAAGCCGGACGUGUCCGGCUGUGAGAGUACCCGAAGAAAAAGCAUCGGCUAACUCCGUGCCAGCAGCCGCGGUAAUACGGAGGAUGCGAGCGUUAUCCGGAUUUAUUGGGUUUAAAGGGUGCGCAGGCGGAUUUUUAAGUCAGCGGUCAAAUCGUGGGGCUCAACCCCAUCCAGCCGUUGAAACUGGGGAUCUAGAGUGUGCGAGAAGUAUGCGGAAUGCGUGGUGUAGCGGUGAAAUGCAUAGAUAUCACGCAGAACCCCGAUUGCGAAGGCAGCAUACCGGUGCACAACUGACGCUCAGGCACGAAAGCGUGGGUAUCGAACAGGAUUAGAUACCCUGGUAGUCCACGCAGUAAACGAUGAAUGCUACCUGUUUGGCCAGAUUGAAGGCUGA